GACGGAGGAUGCAAGCGUUAUCCGGAAUGAUUGGGCGUAAAGCGUCCGCAGGUGGCAGUUCAAGUCUGCUGUCAAAGACCGGGGCUUAACUUCGGAAAGGCAGUGGAAACUGAACAGCUAGAGUAUGGUAGGGGCAGAGGGAAUUCCUGGUGUAGCGGUGAAAUGCGUAGAGAUCGUGAGGAAGACCAGUGGCGAAGGCGGGUCUCUGGACAGUUCCUGACACUGAGGCACGAAGGCCAGAAGAGCAAACGAA
rnacentral:rRNA from 1 species